rnacentral:rRNA from 1 species
GGGUUGUGAGGUUAAGCGACUAAGCGUACACGGUGGAUGCCCUGGCAGUCAGAGGCGAUGAAGGGCGUGCUAAUCUGCGAUAAGCGCCGGUAAGGUGAUAUGAACCGUUAUAACCGGCGAUACCCGAAUGGGGAAACCCAGUGUGAUUCGUCACACUAUCAUUAACUGAAUCCAUAGGUUAAUGAGGCGAACCGGGGGAACUGAAACAUCUAAGUACCCCGAGGAAAAGAAAUCAACCGAGAUUCCCCCAGUAGCGGCGAGCGAACGGGGAGGAGCCCAGAGCCUGAAUCAGCAUGUGUGUUAGUGGAAGCGUCUGGAAAGGCGCGCGAUACAGGGUGACAGCCCCGUACACAAAAGCGCAUGUGCUGUGAGCUCGAUGAGUAGGGCGGGACACGUGGUAUCCUGUCUGAAUAUGGGGGGACCAUCCUCCAAGGCUAAAUACUCCUGACUGACCGAUAGUGAACCAGUACCGUGAGGGAAAGGCGAAAAGAACCCCGGCGAGGGGAGUNNNUGAAAAAGAACCUGAAACCGUGUACGUACAAGCAGUGGGAGCACAGGUUUACCUGUGUGACUGCGUACCUUUUGUAUAAUGGGUCAGCGACUUAUAUUCUGUAGCAAGGUUAACCGUAUAGGGGAGCCGGAGGGAAACCGAGUCUUAACCGGGCGUUAAGUUGCAGGGUAUAGACCCGAAACCCGGUGAUCUAGCCAUGGGCAGGUUGAAGGUUGGGUAACACUAACUGGAGGACCGAACCGACUAAUGUUGAAAAAUUAGCGGAUGACCUGUGGCUGGGGGUGAAAGGCCAAUCAAACCGGGAGAUAGCUGGUUCUCCCCGAAAGCUAUUUAGGUAGCGCCUCGUGAAUUCAUCUCCGGGGGUAGAGCACUGUUUCGGCUAGGGGGCCAUCCCGGCUUACCAACCCGAUGCAAACUGCGAAUACCGGAGAAUGUUAUCACGGGAGACACACGGCGGGUGCUAACGUCCGUCGUGAAGAGGGAAACAACCCAGACCGCCAGCUAAGGUCCCAAAGUCAUGGUUAAGUGGGAAACGAUGUGGGAAGGCCCAGACAGCCAGGAUGUUGGCUUAGAAGCAGCCAUCAUUUAAAGAAAGCGUAAUAGCUCACUGGUCGAGUCGGCCUGCGCGGAAGAUGUAACGGGGCUAAACCAUGCACCGAAGCUGCGGCAGCGA